rnacentral:rRNA from 1 species
GACGAACGCUGGCGGCGUGCUUAACACAUGCAAGUCGAACGGAGCACCCCUGAAGGAGUUUUCGGACAACGGAAGGGAAUGCUUAGUGGCGGACUGGUGAGUAACGCGUGAGGAACCUGCCUUUCGGAGGGGGACAACAGUUGGAAACGACUGCUAAUACCGCAUGACGUAUCGGGAUCGCAUGGUCUUGAUACCAAAGAUUUUAUCGCCGAAAGAUGGCCUCGCGUCUGAUUAGCUAGUUGGUGGGGUAACGGCCUACCAAGGCGACGAUCAGUAGCCGGACUGAGAGGUUGGCCGGCCACAUUGGGACUGAGAUACGGCCCAG